ensembl:rRNA 5S_rRNA 5S ribosomal RNA
UAUGGCCUUACCACCCUGAAAGUGCUCAAUCUUAUCUGAUCUCAGAAGCUAAGCAGGGUUGGGCCUGGUUAGUACUUAGAUGGGAGAAACUGGGUGAGCACCAGCUCCAAGCCAGGU